GACGAACCGUGCGAACGUUGUUCGGAAUCACUGGGCUUAAAGGGCGCGUAGGCGGCUUUGUAAGUUAGAGGUGAAAGCCCGGGGCUCAACUCCGGAAUUGCCUUUAAGACUGCAUCGCUAGAAUUGUGGAGAGGUAAGUGGAAUUCCGAGUGUAGAGGUGAAAUUCGUAGAUAUUCGGAAGAACACCAGUGGCGAAGGCGACUUACUGGACACAUAUUGACGCUGAGGUGCGAAAGCGUGGGGAGCAAACAGG
rnacentral:rRNA from 1 species